rnacentral:rRNA from 1 species
CCUACGGGAGGCAGCAGUGAGGAAUAUUGGUCAAUGGGCGCGAGGCUGAACCAGCCAAGUCGCGUGAGGGAAGACGGCCCUACGGGUUGUAAACCUCUUUUGUCGGGGAGCAAAGCGAACCACGUGUGGCUUAUUGAGAGUACCCGAAGAAAAAGCAUCGGCUAACUCCGUGCCAGCAGCCGCGGUAAUACGGAGGAUGCGAGCGUUAUCCGGAUUUAUUGGGUUUAAAGGGUGCGCAGGCGGAGGUGCAAGUCAGCGGUGAAAUUGCGGGGCUCAACCCCGUACUGCCGUUGAAACUGCAUCCCUUGAGUGCGAGAGAAGUAUGCGGAAUGCGUGGUGUAGCGGUGAAAUGCAUAGAUAUCACGCAGAACUCCGAUUGCGAAGGCAGCAUACCGGCGCGCAACUGACGCUCAUGCACGAAAGCGUGGGUAUCGAACAGGAUUAGAUACCCUAGUAGUC